rnacentral:misc_RNA from 1 species
UCUCCGUUGGUGAACCAGCGGAGGGAUCAUUAUCGAGUUUACAACUCCCAAACCAUUGUGAAUUUUACCUUUUCGUUGCUUCGGCAGGAUUGCCCCGGGCGCUUCGGUGCCCCGGAUUCAGGCGCCUGCCGGGGGACCUAAACUCUUGUAUUAUAGUGAAUCUCUGAGUGGAUUACACAAAUAAUCAAAACUUUCAACAACGGAUCUCUUGGUUCUG